CAGGGAUCAGAGCCAAGCUGCAGUUGCAACCUAUGCUGUGGCAACACCAGAUCCUUAACCCACUGUGCCUGGCCAGGGAUUGAACCUGCAUCCCAGUGCUGCAGACAUCACUGAUGCAUUCUGUUGCAGUACAGCGGGGAACUCCAUGCAGCUGAAUUCUAAAUGAGAACUCAUUUCCUGAUCUACUUUUCUCCAACAUUCCAUUCCAAUCAACCACCUUGAAGAUAAAUACUGUAUGCAUAAAGCAAUUUAUAGACUUUUGUAGAAAACAACCUUUUAAAUUUAAGGGAAACAACUAAAGGAAAAAAGAUUAAAAUGCUUGUGCGAGCAGUAAUCUGUUGAAAAGGUGAUGAACCAGUGUCUCUAUCUGUACCUUACACAACUCAGGGUUUAUGUUUUGGGUCUUAUGAACUCAACUCCUUGCUUGUGAUCAUGGAUCACAGUUCUAUUAGAGGCAAAUGCCUUUGAAUCUGCAUGCUUUUAGGCACUUGUCUGAAGUAACCCACGAGUAGGAAUAAGGAAACGGACAUAAUCUCUGCAACCAAAACCAACUUUUACUCUCCAGGGCCUUGGAAGAGGGCGCUAAAUGAGAGGUUCAUUUAUCUCCAGGCACCUCUGCUUUUGUUCCUACAUGAACGAGCCGUUGAGUAUCUGGUUUAAUAUCUGAACUUCUUUUUUCCAGAUUACUUAACUCCCAUUUCAUCUAGCGAUGAAUCAAGAAGGUACCCUCUGAUAGCUAUGAUACUGCCUUCCAUGUAACAUUUGAAAAGAGAGGUAAUUACCUAGUCAGGUAGAAAAGGAGGCAAAGUGCCUUCUCGUUUUUGUUUUUGUUUUGUCUUUUUGCCUUUUCUAGGGCUGCUCCCGCGGCAUAUGGGGGUUCCCAGGCUAGGGAUCUAAUCGGAGCUGUAGCCGUUGGCCUAUGCCAGAGCCACAGCAACGCGGGAUCCGAGCCGCGUCUGCGACCUACACCACAGCUCACAUCAAAGCUGGAUCCUUAACUGACUGAGCGAGGCCAGGGAUCGAACCCACAACCUCAUGGUUCCUAGUUGGAUUUGUUAACCACUGCGCCAGGACGGGAACUCCAUCAUUUCUUUUCUAUGGUCCUCUGUCACUCGUUUUCUUGGUUGCUGAUAAGUGAUUCAUAAUCUAUAGUAUCUCUCACACACCGUAUUUUGGCAUGUGAGCAAUGCAGACAAACGUAUUUCUCACCUCCCUGUUAAACACACACCAACACCUGCUGGCAUUGUUUCACAUGUACUAAACUACCUCAAUUAAAACAAUCUGACUUUGAUGAUCAAUUCCAGGGCUACAUGAAGAUUCAAUGAGUUAAGAAUUUAACCUGUUAAUAAGUGACAAGCCUCCCAGUUUCGCCUUGGAAAAUCUGGAAGAAAAUUAGGAAAAGAGGAAGAAGGGGUUUCUCCGCAUGACUAUGAAUCACCACAUGCAAUGUAUUCACUUUCUGCUGCUCAUUUUUUUACUAUGAUACAGAUCCAGGCAGAGUAACUCUGCCUCAUCCCUUGGUUUUCAGAAGUCGGAUUGCCUGGAGUUAAUUCCUUGGCUCCAAGAAGUUUGUCACUACAUGUCUGUAUCUUUAUCUAUAGAUAUUCUUAUUUUUUUUAUUUUUAUUUAUUUAUUUUUUUUUCUAUUUCUUUGGGCCGCUCCCGCGGCAUAUGGAGGUUCCCAGGCUAGGGGUCGAAUCGGAGCUGCAGCCACUGGCCUACGCCAGAGCCACAGCAACGCGGGAUCCGAGCCGCGUCUGCAACCUACACCACAGCUCACAGCAACGCCGGAUCCUUAACCCACUGAGCAAGGGCAGGGACCGAACCCGCAACCUCAUGGUUCCUAGUCGGAUUCGUUAACCACUGCGCCACGACGGGAACUCCCCUCAAAUGUGCUCCUAGAGACACACACUGCCCCUUAGGUAGGAUCUGGCAGGCAGGAGGUGGCUCCUGUGCUCCAAGCCCUCUGCAAUGCAUGCAGUGGCUCAGGGCUCACGACUGGUUGGUUGGCAGGGCUUGGAACAUCUCCGCACACAGUCAACUCCCUGCUUUAGAGCACCUCCCAUAGUUCUGGCCCAUUAACCUGAGCACAACAACUUGAUGAAUUAAUGCUUAUAUAGGCACUGUUGGCAGCUUCUAAUUAAAUAAUUAUGGCUAAGCAGCUGCACGGAAGCUGUUACGUACCCUGGAAAGCCAGCUGUCCGUCUUAUUGGUCCUAAGAUAGAGGAAGAGUUAAUUAACACUUCUGGCCACAAGGUACAAAAGGCAAGCGUAUCACAAGCAAUAUAUGUGCUGUGCAAUACGAAGGUGCUGUGUACUUGAGCGAGCCUGUCCAUGGAGUGAUGGAGGGCAAACUGCUCCUUGGCAACCUCUCAGCCAAGAAGGAGGCAAUUAUAUGAUCAGAGAACAGAGUUUGUCCAGAGCAAUCUAAGGAGGACACAGUGUUACACAGAUGAAUCUUUAAUGAGCACAGAAAUGUCACAGAGCUAGUAGACAAAUACACUCAGGUCAGGGUCUCACUUAGAUGAGCAAGGGGUCAGAAAUCUAGUGUGCUCAUUUUGAGGGGGUAUGGCUGGUAGGUUUUCUUGUAUUUGACCGAAGCUUCUUAAGAGGCUGUUCUAAAUAUUAGAAAUUAGAGAAUAAGGUAAAUAGCACAAAUCUAGAUUUAAACACUAAGAUCCAUUUUUUUCCCAAAAGUUAAAAGACAUUUGUUUUACAGGAUCACAGAUAAUGUCAGAUUCCUUUAUAGAAGGCUAGAAAGCUAAAGUCUUAUCUCUACACGGGUGGAAAAUUCACCAGAAGGAAGAAAGAAUCUGACAACUAAGUUCCAACACAGAGAAAAGUAUACAUUCUACAUCAAGGCCGCAGAUAGGGGUACUGGACCAAAUAAUGCUUGUUAGACCCAUGAGAAUGCUACUAAACGGAGAGCUGAUUUCAUUAUCCUCCAUACGCUGUUCUUUCCAUACAAUUCACGGGUCUUCACUUCUAAAACCCACACGUGUGACAGUGCAGGACAGGACAACUGGGCUUCCCACAGGCCUUGUCACCAAAGUUUCCAGCACCAUCUCCAAAUGAAUAAACACAACUGCAGGCAAAAAUCAGUCCAAGAUAGUCAUUGAUAUUUGAAUCUCAAAGGGUAUAGAUCUGCCUUAAAAUAAGAAUGGAGAAAAACUGGAAACAUACUUCCUAUGGACUUCACUUCACCCAACUUCCAGACCUGUUGAAAAUCAGCCAUCCAUCAAGGAGUCAACUUUACAGACUCAUUUCCUGUUCUCCCUUCAGUGAUCCCCAGCUUACAGUUUAUUUAAAAUAAUACCAUUUCUUAAAAUAAGGCAUUCUCCACAGUAAACCAUCAUUUCACCCAACGGACUGAUCUCAAAAAAACGCUCGCUUGUGGAGCUUCCGUACAAGGGUUCCCUCCCUUUUCUCCCUUCUGGUUUCCUUUGAUGUCGGUGAUGCUAUCACCUCUGCUGUCUGCAGAUGAUUGCACAUGAAGGACAAUUCUCAAGGAUUCU
rnacentral:lncRNA from 1 species